rnacentral:rRNA from 1 species
CGCGGGGCAACCUGGCGGCGAGCGGCGAACGGGUGAGUAAUGCAUCGGAACAUGUCCAUGUCGUGGGGGAUAGCCCGGCGAAAGCCGGAUUAAUACCGCAUAAGCCCGAGAGGGGAAAGCAGGGGACCGCAAGGCCUUGCGCGAUUGGGUUGGCCGAUGUCCGAUUAGCUUGUUGGUGAGGUAAAGGCUUACCAAGGCGAUGAUCGGUAGCUGGUCUGAGAGGAUGAUCAGCCACACUGGGACUGAGACACGGCCCAGACUCCUACGGGAGGCAGCAGUGGGGAAUUUUGGACAAUGGGGGCAACCCUGAUCCAGCCAUUCCGCGUGAGUGAAGAAGGCCUUCGGGUUGUAAAGCUCUUUUGUCCGGAGCGAAACGGUGGCGGUGAAUAUCCGCCACUACUGACGGUACCAUAAGAAUAAGCACCGGCUAACUACGUGCCAGCAGCCGCGGUAAUACGUAGGGUGCAAGCGUUAAUCGGAAUUACUGGGCGUAAAGCGUGCGCAGGC